rnacentral:rRNA from 1 species
GACGAACCGUGCGAACGUUGUUCGGAAUCACUGGGCUUAAAGGGCGCGUAGGCGGGCUGACAAGUCUGGGGUGAAAUGCCGCGGCUCAACCGUGGAACUGCCUUAGAUACUGUCGGCCUCGAGGGAGGUAGGGGCGUGCGGAACUGUAGGUGGAGCGGUGAAAUGCGUAGAUAUCAAGUGGAACACCAGUGGCGAAGGCGAGUCUCUGGACAUUUCCUGACGCUGAGGCACGAAAGCCAGGGGAGCAAACGGG